rnacentral:lncRNA from 1 species
AGAUUUCCAUCUGAACGACAAAAGGCUGUGAUAACCUAUUACCUAUAGCCAAUACUUAAAUGACCAAGCACACACUAUUCGCACGUCGUGCUGUGAGUGUACCCGUCAAUAAACAAGUAUUCAAUGGGAUGAGGACAGGGAUCUGCAACAGGACCUGCGGAGAGGGUGGCGUUAAGGUGGAGAAGUGAAAAAAAAUAAAUAAAAAGGGGUGGGGGGGUUUACUCCAGGGCCUGCAGAGAGAUAAAAAGGGUGGGAAGGGGGAUUUACUCCAGGGCCUGCGGAGAGAUGAAAAGAGUGGGAAGGGGGUUUACGAUAGGGUGUGGGGACAGGGACAGAAGGGUGGGGAGGGGGGGUUGGUUUACGAUAGGAUUUGGGAUAUUGGGACAAAAGGAUGGGGACAGGGGGGGGUCUGACGACCGGAUCUAUAGAGACAGGGACAAAAGGGUUGGGGUUAUCAAAAGGAGUUUAUGACCCGAUCUGUAGAGACAGAGACAAAAGGGUUGGGGUUAUCAAAGGAGUUUACGACCGGAUCUGUAGAGACAGAGACAAAAGGGUUGGGGUUAUCAAAAGGGGUUUUCUAGGGUAUGGGUGAAAAAGUACAACAACUAUUCGAGUUGUUCCAGUCCUACCGGACUGUGCAACCAGGCCACAAGAUGGCACCGGCGCCGAGAGAGAGAUCUGCUUUUGCUUAGGUCAGAGGUUAUGCAGUCUUAACAAAAGACUGACCAUUUAUCCCCUACCGACUUGCAGGAGAGAGAGAGAGAGAUGAGAGAGUGAGUGAGUGAGUGAGUGAGUGAGUGAGUGAGUGAGUGAGUGAGUGAGUGAGAGAGAGGGGGGGAGAGGGAGAGAGGGGGAGAGGGAGGGGAGAGAGAGAGAGGGAGGGGGAGAGAGAUCUGCUUUUGCUUAGGUCAGAGGUUAUGCAGUCUUAACAAAAGACUGACCAUUCAUCCCCUACUGACUUGCAGGAGAGAGAGAGAUGAGAGAGAUGAGAGAGAGUGAGUGAGAGAGAGAGAGAGGGGGGGAGAGGGAGAGGGAGAGAGGGGGAGAGAGAGAGAGAGAGAGAGAGAGAGAGAGAGAGAGAGAGGGAGGAGGAGGAGAGGGGGAGGGAGAGAGAGAGAGAGAGAGAGAGAGAGAGAGAGAGAGAGAGAGAGAGAGAGAGAGAGAGAUCUGCUUUUGCCUAGGUCAGAGGUUAUGCAAACUUAACAAAAGACUGACCAUUCAUUCCCUACCGACUUGCAGGAGAGAGAGAGAGAGAGAGAGAGAGACAAGGUGAGUGAGAGAGGAGAGAGAGAGAGAGAGAGAGAGAGAGAGAGAGAGAGAGAGAGAGAGAGAGAGGUUGAGAGAGAGAGAGAGAGAGAGAGACAAGGUGAGAGAGAGACAAGGUGAGAGAGAGACAAGGUGAGUGAGAGAGAGAGACAAGGUGAGAGAGAGAGAGAGAGAGACAAGGUGAGAGAGAGAGAGGGGAGAGGGAGAGAGGGGGAGGGAGAGAGAGAGAGGAUGUAACACUUAAGUUGAGGCCCCCUGUUGCUCUUGAGCAAUGGCGUUUGUUUCAGAAAGGGCUUUGACUACAAAGACUGUGGAGGUACGAACAAAGGAAACGCACGUUUCCAACACGCGUUGUCCCUUUAAAUCGUACACCACGUGGUGCAUCCAAAAUGCUGCAGAAACAAACUAGUUUUGGAUCUCUAUAAGAAGUAUGAGAUUCCUGCAAGUUUGUCCCCACGGCGGGUUAGCGAGGCACUUGAUAGCAGAUGGGUUAUACUGCGUAAGUCUACCUCUACGGCUGCGUUCUAUACUAACCAAAAUUGCACAUUAGAUGUUACAUGAACCGGGCUGUGAGGAAUCAAUUCGAUUUGAACUCCUUGGCUAACGACGGCCAAGCCUCCGGUUUAAUAUGCAACUAAGCUAGAUUAACGUUAAAAACCUGACCUUUCCUCGCUCCACCGUAAGAGUUUAGAAGUUUGUGGUCGGUUAUUUUGUACUGGCUUAACAUCCGUACAUUCUUCACACAACACAAAAACCACAGGUAUUAUUUCUCCCACGCGGUACAAACAUUUAGAUCUAAUCAGGAUUGGAUACAGUCUAUCGACAAACCCAUGUAAAACACACUCCUAGCCCUUAACUUCGUGAGCUCGUUAUUCAAUUUCAAUCUGUUAGCGUAUCCUAGGCCGUUCGUCUAACCGGCUGUAUGAAUUUAAACCAGUCCGAGAUUACACGUCCCCGCAGCCUGACGGAGGCAGUACAAGCUAUUCACCUAAUGUUACUAAUCUAACUAUACAGAGUUUAGUCAUGGACAACAGGUUCUGUUUACCUUUCUUGUGGCGCCUGUAAGUAGCUUGUACUGCUUUCCGAACGGCCCCGCGGUCGCCAGUCUCGGUCCGGAACUUCCCAAGAACGUCAGGGCGUCACCAAAUUGCAAUGUUCUUCAGGGAAAGUAUUCGAAUCCAAAGGAAUAGCUUUAAAGAGACUUUAUUUGUAUAAAGUAUUUUCGGUAUGGUAAACUGAUGCUCUGAAGUAAAGAGAGAUUGAAGAUGUGUUCUAAGCACGUGCGAGAGUGUUCUCCUAGCUGAUCCUAGCCACAAACCCACGUAUGUCUAAUCGCUGCCGGGAGAGUUCUAAAGACAAUCCGGAUCUGUCGGCUGUUAUGGUCAGAACAGCGCGGUCCGGACGUAAGGGGGGGGGGGGGGGGGGGGGGGGAGCCGAUGUGAAGGUACGGCCACACCAAAAGCGUUACCCGCGUAUCACGCGUAUAAAAUCGGCAAUUUUUCCAUAGGGAACCAUUGGUUUACGCGCGUAUGAGACGCGUACACGCGUUACACGCGUAUAAGCAACAUUUUACUCGCGUCAGGCGCGUAUGAGGCGCGUAUAUAUACGCGCGUAUAUAUACGCGCGUAUAUAUACGCGCGUACAUAUACGCGCGUACGAGGAGUUCAAAAAAUUGAACUUUUUACGCUCAUACGCGCCGCAAUAGCCAAUCAGCGUUGAGCUUGACCCGACGUCACUGGCAGAGAGUAGUGAGCUUGGACAGAAGCAUACGGCCGACAUCUUUCUUUAUUCUGUGUGGAAAUAGUAACAUAGUUACGCCAUUAAAUGCUUUUAUGGAAACAUUUUUAGCGAGAAAUGUGCAUUUUACUUUCAUAAUGUUCGCUCGGUGAAUGUGAAGGAUGUUUGGUUUGAUAGUUAUGACGAAGAGGGAACGCUCCGUUCACUUGCAUGGACAGAGUCUCUGGUUACUAAGCAACCUCAACGUCUUGGCGGACUAUAUAUCUGCUGAUCAACACUACGAAUGCUGGAAACACACCAGACACACCAUGUGAAGUUAUUUAAGCCGAUUAUUGUUAUUUAUAUCCGAGAUUAUUUAAUCUAACCCGAUCUAAACUCUAUCACCCAAACACGGCGGCGUUUGGGUUUCCUACCUCGGACUCCAGCGCAGCCAUGUCCAUGGCAGCCAUGGCCGGCAACUUUCUUUAUUAUGGGUGGAAAUAGUAACAUAGUUACGCCAUUAAAUGCGUUUAUGGAAACAUUUCUAGCGAGAAAUGUGCAUUUUACUUUCAUAAGGUUCACUCUGUGAAUGUGAAGGAUGUUUGGUUUGAUAGUUAUGACGAAGAGUGAACGCUCCGUUCACUUGCAUGGACAGAGUCUCUGAUUGCUAAGCAACCUCAACGUCUUGGCGGACUAUUUCUCUGCUGAUCAACACUACGAAUGCUGGAAACACACCAGACACACCAUGUGAAGUUAUUUAAGCCGAUUAUUGUUAUUUAUAUCCGAGAUUAUUUAAUCUAACCCGAUCUAAACUCUAUCACCCAAACACGGCGGCGUUUGGGUUUCCUACCUCGGACUCCAGCGCAGCCAUGUCCAUGGCAGCCACGGCCGGCAACUUUCUUUAUUCUGGGUGGAAAUAGUAACAUAGUUACGCCAUUAAAUGCGUUUAUGGAAACAUUUCUAGCGAGAAAUGUGCAUUUUACUUUCAUAAGGUUCGCUCGGUGAAUGUGAAGGAUGUUUGGUUUGAUAGUUAUGACGAAGAGUGAACGCUCCGUUCACUUGCAUGGACAGAGUCUCUGAUUGCUAAGCAACCUCAACGUCUUGGCGGACUAUUUCUCUGCUGAUCAACACUACGAAUGCUGGAAACACACCAGACACACCAUGUGAAGUUAUUUAACCCGAUUAUUGUUAUUUAUAUCCGAGAUUAUUUAAUCUAACCCGAUCCAAGCUCUAUCAUCCACCCAAACACGGCGGCGUUUGGGUUUCCUUCCUCGGAUCCUAAAUCCAGCGCAGCCACAGGCUGGGGGGGGGGGGGGAGUUUUGGGCGGUCUCAUCUACGCGCGUUACGCGCGUAUCUGACCAUUUUUGACACAAAAUGGUCAAGCAACAUUUUAGCUGCGUUACGCGCGUACAUGGUACGCGAGGUACGCGCUUGGUGUGUUCGCGGCUUUAGAUAACUCUCGGGUUUCUCGCCUGGUCUGUGAUGCUGCCUUCUGUGGCUAAAGUAUUUAUUACAGCCUUCAGUAAGGUCUUGCUCCCCUUGUGGCUAUGUUGGGUAUUUACGGCUAAUAUGUUUGGUCUUGCAUCAUUGGGUCUAUGUGUGGGUAGCCUAGAUUCUUAAAAUACGUAACAACUGAAAAGCCCUUUUUGUCCAAUACGAAAGAACUCUGUUUUGGCCGCAAACAGAUACAUUGUUUGGAGUUUUCAUGUUUAGCUAUUUUCCUGGAAAGUCAACCGGAGUUAUUGCUUAAUAAAUUAAUCAACACCAAGUUAAACAAUCUCUGUGCGUGCUUCCAAGAAAUGUGUGUCGGAC